AUGCAUAUGUGGCAGAUGAGAGCCCAAGAUCACAAACGUGACUCUCUCUCUCAGUGAGGCUCAUCCAUUGCACUUCUGACAUGCUGAUCUCUGUGUUUUCCUCAAAUGGAAUAAACUCAAUGGCAUAAUUUGUGGUAGUGCAGGACUGUGUUUACACUUUCUUCUG
ensembl:snRNA U1 U1 spliceosomal RNA